rnacentral:rRNA from 1 species
UACGUAGGGGGCGAGCGUUGUCCGGAUUUAUUGGGCGUAAAGAGCGUGUAGGCGGCUUGGCAAGUCCGCUGUGAAAACUCGAGGCUCAACCUCGAGACGUCGGUGGAAACUGCCUGGCUAGAGUCCGGAAGAGGAGAGUGGAAUUCCUGGUGUAGCGGUGAAAUGCGCAGAUAUCAGGAAGAACACCCGUGGCUAAGGCGGCUCUCUAGUACGGUACUGACGCUGAGACGCGAAAGCGUGGGGAGCGAACAGG